rnacentral:rRNA from 1 species
GGAUAGCCCGGGAAACCCGGAUUAAUACCGCGUACGCCUUCGGGGAAAGCAGGGAUCUUCGGACCUUGCGCUAUUGGAUGUGCCUAUGUCGGAUUAGCUAGUUGGUGGGGUAAAGGCCUACCAAGGCGACGAUCCGUAGCUGGUCUGAGAGGAUGAUCAGCCACAUCGGGACUGAGACACGGCCCGAACUCCUACGGGAGGCAGCAGUGGGGAAUAUUGGACAAUGGGGGCAACCCUGAUCCAGCCAUGCCGCGUGUGUGAAGAAGGCUUUCGGGUUGUAAAGCACUUUCAGUGAGGAGGAAAACUCUGCGACUAAUACUCGUAGGGCUUGACGUUACUCACAGAAGAAGCACCGGCUAACUCCGUGCCAGCAGCCGCGGUAAUACGGAGGGUGCAAGCGUUAAUCGGAAUUACUGGGCGUAAAGCGCGCGUAGGUGGUUUGAUAAGCGAGAUGUGAAAGCCCCGGGCUUAACCUGGGAACGGCAUUUCGAACUGUCAGGCUAGAGUAUGGUAGAGGGUAGUGGAAUUUCCUGUGUAGCGGUGAAAUGCGUAGAUAUAGGAAGGAACACCAGUGGCGAAGGCGGCUACCUGGACCAAUACG